AGUGAACGCUGGCGGUAGGCCUAACACAUGCGAGUCGAACGGCAGCACAGUAAGAGCUUGCUCUUACGGGUGGCGAGUGGCGGACGGGUGAGGAAUACAUCGGAAUCUACUUUUUCGUGGGGGAUAACGUAGGGAAACUUACGCUAAUACCGCAUACGACCUACGGGUGAAAGCAGGGGAUCUUCGGACCUUGCGCGAUUGAAUGAGCCGAUGUCGGAUUAGCUAGUUGGCGGGGUAAAGGCCCACCAAGGCGACGAUCCGUAGCUGGUCUGAGAGGAUGAUCAGCCACACUGGAACUGAGACACGGUCCAGACUCCUACGGGGGGCAGCGGUGGGGAAUUUUGGACAAGGGGGGCAAGCCUGAUCCAGCCAUACCGGGGGGGUGAAGAAGGCCUUCGGGUGUUAAAGCCCUUUUGUUGGGAAAAAAAAGCAGCAGGUUAAUACCCCGCUGUUCUGACGGUACCCAAAAAAUAAGCACCGGCUAACUUCGU
rnacentral:rRNA from 1 species